rnacentral:rRNA from 1 species
AACGAACGCUGGCGGCAUGCCUAACACAUGCAAGUCGAACGAGACCUUCGGGUCUAGUGGCGCACGGGUGCGUAACGCGUGGUAACCUGCCCUUAGGUUCGGAAUAACUCCCCGAAAGGGGUGCUAAUACCGGAUAAUGUCUUCGGACCAAAGAUUUAUCGCCUUUGGAUGGGCCCGCGUUGGAUUAGCUAGUUGGUAGGGUAAAAGCCUACCAAGGCGACGAUCCAUAGCUGGUCUGAGAGGAUGAUCAGCCACGCUGGGACUGAGACACGGCCCAGACUCCUACGGGAGGCAGCAGUGGGGAAUAUUGGACAAUGGGCGAAAGCCUGAUCCAGCAAUGCCGCGUGAGUGAUGAAGGCCUUAGGGUUGUAAAGCUCUUUUACCCGGGAUGAGAAUGACAGUACCGGGAGAAUAAGCUCCGGCUAACUCCGUG